AACGAACGCUGGCGGCAUGCCUAACACACGCCAGUCGAACGAGACCUUCGGGUCUAGUGGCGCACGGGUGCGUAACGCGUGGGAACCUGCCCUUAGGUUCGGAAUAACUCCCCGAAAGGGGUGCUAAUACCGGAUAAUGUCUUCGGACCAAAGAUUUAUCGCCUUUGGAUGGGCCCGCGUUGGAUUAGCUAGUUGGUAGGGUAAAAGCCUACCAAGGCGACGAUCCAUAGCUGGUCUGAGAGGAUGAUCAGCCACACUGGGACUGAGACACGGCCCAGACUCCUACGGGAGGCAGCAGUGGGGAAUAUUGGACAAUGGGCGAAAGCCUGAUCCAGCAAUGCCGCGUGAGUGAUGAAGGCCUUAGGGUUGUAAAGCUCUUUUACCCGGGAUGAUAAUGACAGUACCGGGAGAAUAAGCUCCGGCUAACUCCGUG
rnacentral:rRNA from 1 species